GACGAACGCUGGCGGCGUGCUUAACACAUGCAAGUCGAACGGAAAGGCCCUGCUUUUGUGGGGUGCUCGAGUGGCGAACGGGUGAGUAACACGUGAGUAACCUGCCCUUGACUUUGGGAUAACUUCAGGAAACUGGGGCUAAUACCGGAUAGGAGCUCCUGCUGCAUGGUGGGGGUUGGAAAGUUUCGGCGGUUGGGGAUGGACUCGCGGCUUAUCAGCUUGUUGGUGGGGUAGUGGCUUACCAAGGCUUUGACGGGUAGCCGGCCUGAGAGGGUGACCGGCCACAUUGGGACUGAGGUUAGGGCCAGACUCCUACGGGAGGGAGCAGGGGGGAAUAUUGCACAAUGGGCGGAAGCCUGAUGCAGCAACGCCGCGUGCGGGAUGACGGCCUUCGGGUUGUAAACCGCUUUCGCCUGUGACGAAGCGUGAGUGACGGUAAUGGGUAAAGAAGCACCGGCUAACUACGUG
rnacentral:rRNA from 1 species